ensembl:lncRNA
AAACACUUGUAUUUAAACACGUAGCCUAUAGCAAUUAACGCCAUUUGCCUCACUUACUCCUGGGGUCUGCGUGAGCAUCUGGCCCCGACCUGGUAAAGGGUCGGUUUUGCCCAGCAGUAAGCCCUACACGUGGACAGAGGACGAACACCGGACGAGCGAACGGAGACCACAUGCAACAAGUGGUGACCCCGACGUGAUCUGUCUGCUGAGGGUGGCUGCCCGGCGUGCCCGUGACGCGGAGAAGAGCCUGUGAGGUGGCGGCAGGUCGCAUGCGUAACAAUGGACCAAGUCAUUAAGAUUCCGGCGCCGACGUUACUGUGGUCGCGGAAACAGAAUGGCCAUCCUCGUGGCCCGCGGAGGCCUCGCAGUCUAUUUUGGGGGUUGGAGGGGCGACCCCCUCACGCCGGUCUACCAAUGAGGUACAAGCGGUUGUGAUUAACAGGGAUGGCUCCUUAGAGAAACCGGCGUUGCUUACACCAUUGGUGGCGCGUGUCCCCGGAACUCUUCUGGGGCGGGAUUUCUUGCAACAGAUAGGCAUUCCACAGUAUCCUCUGAACACCUUCAAGGGAUACGUCACUAAUGUUACUGCUUGCGAUAACGACGCCGAUUUAGCCAGCCAAACAGCAUGCUUGAUACAGGCUCUAAAUACAACCCUCCCUUGGGACCCCCAAGAAUUGGAUAUUUUAGGGUCCCAGAUGAUCAAGAACGGAACAACACGUACGUGUGUUACCUUUGGUUCGGUGUGCUAUAAAGAGAACAAUCGCAGUAGAGUCUGUCACAAUUUUGAUGGGAAUUUUAAUGGGACUGGUGGGGCAGAAGCAGAAUUGCGUGACUUCAUAGCAAAAUGGAAAAGUGAUGACCUUCUUAUAAGACCCUAUGUCAACCAAUCAUGGACGAUGGUAAGUCCAAUAAAUGUAGAGAGUUUUUCAAUAAGUUGUAGAUAUUGUGGAUUCACCAGUAACGAGACUCGUUACUAUAGAGGGGACCUUUCUAAUUGGUGUGGUUCAAAAAGGGGAAAAUGGUCAGCGGGGUACAGCAACGGGACAAAAUGUUCCAGCAACACAACAGGUUGCGGUGGUAAUUGCACGACGGAAUGGAAUUAUUAUGCAUAUGGGUUUACCUUCGGGAAACAGCCAGAGGUGUUGUGGAACAAUGGGACUGCUAAGGCACUCCCCCCAGGUAUUUUCUUGAUUUGUGGGGACAGGGCUUGGCAAGGCAUCCCGCGUAAUGCCUUGGGAGGGCCCUGUUAUCUAGGACAAUUGACUAUGCUCUCUCCUAACUUUACCACCUGGAUAACAUAUGGGCCGAACAUUACGGGUCACUGCCGUAGCAGGCGCUCGCUGAGUCGUCUCUCGCCUGGCUGCGGUGAUGAGCUACAGCUAUGGAGUGUGACAGCCCGGAUAUUUGCUUCUUUCUUUGCUCCUGGUAUAGCCGCAGCACAGGCCUUAAAGGAGAUCGAACGAUUGGCAUGUUGGUCGGUUAAGCAAGCAAAUUUAACAUCAUUAAUAUUGAAUGCGAUGCUGGAGGAUACGAGCAGCAUCCGGCACGCAGUGUUGCAGAAUUGAGCAGCCAUCGAUUUCUUACUCCUGGCGCAGGGACACAGGUGUCAAGACGUGGAAGGGAUGUGUUGCUUCAAUCUCAGCGAUCACAGUGAGUCCAUUCACAAGGCGCUCCAAGCCAUGAAGGAACAUACAGAGAAGAUACGGGUGGAAGAUGAUCCCAUAAGGGACUGGUUUACGCGCACGUUUGGUGAUCUAGGAAGGUGGCUCGCGAAAGGUGUUAAGACGCUACUGUUUGCCUUGCUUGUCAUAGCCUGUCUAUUAGCUAUCAUUCCAUGUAUAAUCAAGUGCUUUCAGGAUUGUCUAUCGAGAACAAUGAAUCAGUUUAUGGAUGAACACAUAAAAUAUCAUAGAAUUAGGGAGCAGUUGUAGGUUCCGAACGCGAUGUGACGGGAGCUAUCGGCAUAGGGAGGGGGAGAUGUUGUAUGCGUAGCGAGGGAAACGAGGUGUGACGUGUGCAGGUUCCCUAUGCCACCUGUGUGUUAUGCCACCUGUGUGUGCCAAGUGUAGCUUCGUGAUUGGAGGAAACACUUGUAUUUAAACACGUAGCCUAUAGCAAUUAACGCCAUUUGCCUCACUUACUCCUGGGGUCUGCGUGAGCAUCUGGCCCCGACCUGGUAAAGGGUCGGUUUCGCCCAGCAGUAAGCCCUACAUGUGGACAGAGGACGAACACCGGAUGAGCGAACGGAGACCACAUGCAACAGUCUCAAAGGGAAUUCCUAAAGGUUUCUUCAUCUUUAAUGAGAAAAAUGGCCAUGCAGUGCUCUUGAACCAACUUACUUCCAUACCUAGUCAGGUCAAAGCAAAGUUCUGUCUGCACUGUCUUACCUGGAGCCUACUGGAAGACCUUCUUGCUACAGCUACAAGAAGCACUGUGUCCACAGGCUUUCAUUUUGAUGGAGGAAUUCAAACUCCUGGAGUGCAUUCGGAGAAGUUUCCUGGCCUAGCUAUCAGACAAACCAACCAGAGGAGAAGCAUUACCUGACCAGACACUCACCAUACAAAGGAGAUCAUUAAAUAUAUUAAGAGGUACUGUGAGCUGUAGUGAUAGUGCUCUGAUUAUGUUUGUGAUCUCAAGGAAUAUGGGCAUGGCAAAGAACAGAGACAGGACUCCGCACUUCAGAAGAGUGAUAUUCCAGCUGUUUAAGGAAUUACUGGAUGAGAUCCCCUGGGAAGCUGUCCUCGGAGACAGUGGAGCAGAGCAGAGCUGGCAGCUCUAUAAGGACACCUUUCUGACAACAUAAGAGCUCUCUGUCCCUCAGCAUAAGAAAUCAAGAAGAGGAGGGAGGAAACCAGCAAGAUUGAGUGAGGACCUGCUGGUCAAAAUGAGAAAUAAGAAGGAAAUUCACAGUUAAUGGAAUCAGGAAUGAGUGGCCUGGAAAGAAUACAGGAUUCCAUCUAGACAUGAAGAGAUGGGAUCAGGAAAGAUAAGGCACAGAUGGAACUGCAUUUGGUGAGGGAUGGGAAAAAUAAGAUGGUGGAAUAGAACCUCCUGGAAGCUAUCUUAAGACACAUGUGAGGCAAGGUGAUCUGUGACAAAGAACAUGGUCUUGUCAUGGGCAGAUCACACCUGACCGAUCUGGUGGCCCUCUACGAUGGAGUGUUGGCAUCAGUAGAAGAAAGAGGAGAAACUGGUAUCAUCUAACUGGAAUUCAGCAAAGUAUUUGAUACGAUCCCACACACCAUCCUUAUCCCUAAAUUGGGGAGAUAUGGACUUGAAGGCUGGACUAUUCAGUGGAUAAGGAAUUGGUUGUACAGCGUCAGCCAGAGGGUUGGGGUCAAUGGCUUCAGGUGAUGAGUGGUGUCCCCCAGGGGUCUGUCCUGGGACCGGUGCUUUUCAACAUCUUUAUCAACAACCUAGACAGUAGGAUUAAGAACACUCUCAGCAAGUUUGCUAAGCUGAGUGGUGCAGUUCAUAGAACAGAAAUAAGGGUUGCCAUCCAGAGGGACCUGGGCAAGUUUGAAAAAUUUUGAGAAACUCCUUGUAGGAAGUUUAUGCAUGAUAAAUGAUUAUGAUAUCUGAGUUCCAAUUGGGGAACACUGCUGUAUUUGUGAUGACUUGCUAGGAGUGUGUCAUUUUAGAUCUUGGAGACCUGUCUUUUGUAAUGGGAGCCUGCAAAUGCCCCCAACAAAUUCUUGUCACUGGAGCUGAACAGAUCAUCUGCAUAGUGAACUGUUAGUGCAUAAACUGAUGUUUCCAGAUACCUGCGGUAGAUAUCAAUUAAACCACAGAAAUCUAAUUGUACUUUACAAGAGCUGUAGCACUGUACUGACAAUUAAUUUCAAAUACAUUAAUGGACUUAGAGAUAGGUGCCUGUACGACCACGUGGAAAUCCAAGAGCAGUACUACCUUGAAUUCUUUCUCAAAAAUGAGAGUUAUUGUGGCCACGUUGUUCCUUGGGCUGUGACCCUUACAGUGAUCUUACAUUGGUUGAUGGUUGUCUUUCUGAUCUGAGAAAAGAUAAACUAGAUAAAAUUCCUAAACAAAUAAGAGUAGCUUACUUUUGUGUUGGAUUUUACAUGAUACAGAUGUCCUUCUUACAUUCCCUACUUCCUUUUGCUUGUUCCUAACAUGUGCAUAACAAUAUGACAGCCAUAAAUUGUCAUGACACUUAAACAUAAAGCACCAUUUAAGUCCUUUAUCUUAUCUGCUACUUGGUUCAGGUAAAUAAGAAUAAUUAAUGGCAGCUACACUACCUAUAAUCGUUGUUAUGGCUCUGAAUUAGCUGAUUUUCUGUUCCAGAACCCCAGGGUGAGAGGCAGAAUGCUGGGGAGCAUGAGGGAGAACUUACCGAGUGUCAGCUGAGAUUCUGUGUAUGGAAAUGGAUGUUAGUGAAGGUUAGGACCUAGGACUAGGACAAGGACUGCUAUCGCUACUGCUUUAUUUCUUGUAGUCUGCAGUGCAGAAACAGUGAGCAAUCUGAAAGACUGACUGGCAGUGAGAAUCAUAGGGAAGAGGAAAAAAAGGGACAAGGAACAUAUAAUGCUCCAACCCUCCUCCCCACCUCCAAGUUAAUUCAGUGUGGGCUUUUCUUGAUCAAAGUUCCUACCCCACAAUAUAUUGUAAUUUAUGUGUGUCUGAGGCGUACAGUAAUGCUGAGCUAAUGUGGUUUUGUACUUAAGUAAACAUGUUUUCAGAGUUGCUAAUGCAUGACAGAAAGUGCUGGAUCGAAGUCUUUCCUGAAUUAGAAGAAAGAAAAACAGCUAUUAUAAAAGGAGAAGUGUGCCUGACUGAGUAAUGCUGUAUCAGAAAGUCUGCAAACAAGUAUCUUAGUCUUUGAUAAGGAUCUAUUUUUAUUAAUUCCUGGGCUGAAAACCAAAUAUCCCUUUUUAACCUGGGAUGUUCUGUAGAGCACACAGCUAGUGCUUUUCAAAUUUUUAUCCUGUUUCGUAAGGGUGGUAAAAGACAAUCCAUUUCAGGCUUUAGGAAUGUAAGACACAAACAUCCCAAAUAGGUUUUUAAUUAAACAUAUAUUACCUUAGUUCAUGAUAAAAGAGUAAACAGUGAUAUGUACUGUUAUGGGUAGGAUAUAAAUCAAAUACAACUACUAUAUUUCCAUAUCUAGUGGAGUCUCAGCAUUUUUUUAAUCUGUUUAUCAUGCAACUGAUUAAUAUAUCAUUAAACAAAAAAGGCAUGUUAUUUCUCA